AUUGAACGCUGGCGGCAGGCUUAACACAUGCAAGUCGAGCGGGGUGAUGGUGCUUGCAUUAUCACUUAGCGGCGGACGGGUGAGUAAUGCUUAGGAAUCUGCCUAUUAGUGGGGGACAACAUCUCGAAAGGGAUGCUAAUACCGCAUACGUCCUACGGGAGAAAGCAGGGGAUCACUUGUGACCUUGCGCUAAUAGAUGAGCCUAAGUCGGAUUAGCUAGUUGGUGGGGUAAAGGCCUACCAAGGCGACGAUCUGUAGCGGGUCUGAGAGGAUGAUCCGCCACACUGGGACUGAGACACGGCCCAGACUCCUACGGGAGGCAGCAGUGGGGAAUAUUGGACAAUGGGGGGAACCCUGAUCCAGCCAUGCCGCGUGUGCGAAGAAGGCCUUAUGGUUGUAAAGCACUUUAAGCGAGGAGGAGGCUCUUUUGGUUAAUACCCAAGAUGAGUGGACGUUACUCGCAGAACAAGCACCGGCUAACUCUGUGCCAGCCGCCGCAGUAA
rnacentral:rRNA from 1 species